GAAAGCCCAGGGGUCUGAAGGCGCUCGGAGGAGGCCGACCUCCGCCCGGCAGCCCUCCGAGCGCUUCCGCGGAGAAGAGCGGGGGGGCAAACGGGUGGACUUGUGGAUUGGAGUCAUCGAAGAGGUCUGAAGGGGAGUCCAUCACUGCGGGGGAGAGUUGAAGAGAGCAACUCACUAAAAAGCCCUCAGUUGUCAUGGAACCAAGGCUGGCACACAAAAGAUGGACGCACGGUUGCAGAUGAAGGUGGAGUGGCGCAAAGCGAGGGAUGCGUAGCGAGAAGAGGAAAAUGUAACAGGAUGGCGCGGCGUUAUCUCCCACUUUCAUCCCUCCGUCCUCUCUAGAAUGCUAAAAACAAAGUGUGCCGGGGGAGAGAAUACAGAGGACGAGGGAGGGUCACUAUUUCCAUCCCUUCAACAAUAAAUGGAUGAUCUCUGCUUAUCCUCUAAUCGCAGCCCCCCCCCCCCCCAUUAUCUCCCACUCCCCCACGAGUUCUCUUUCCUCUGCUUUUGUCGGCUCUCCAUCUGUCUGUCCUUCCACUCGUCGUCCAUCAUCCCUC